CCCUUAGAUGUUCUGGGCUGCACGCGCGCUACACUGAUGCGCUCAACGAGUUUUAACCUUGCCUGGAAAGGUUGGGUAAUCUUUUUAAAACGCAUCGUGAUGGGGAUAGAUUAUUGCAAUUAUUAAUCUUCAACGAGGAAUUCCUAGUAAGCGCAAGUCAUCAGCUUGCAUUGAUUACGUCCCUGCCCUUUGUACACACCGCCCGUCGCACCUACCGAUUGAAUGACUCGGUGAAAAAUUGGGACUGUGAUUGAAAUUGCUUCAUUGCGAAUUUAAUUAUGGAAACUUUCUUUAACCUAGGCAUUUAGAGGAAGGUGAAGUCGUAACA
rnacentral:rRNA from 1 species